GUACUGAUGAAGAGUCCUAAACUAGGACGAAACAGAUGUCCAGUAC
rnacentral:hammerhead_ribozyme from 1 species